rnacentral:lncRNA from 1 species
AAAAUCGUAUCGCUACCGGUGCCGUUCGCGGCGCCCACUGAAUAGCCAUUUCACAGCCAGUUACGCGUGUUGCCUCCAACUGACCUGUAGGGAACAUGUGCGUGCGUGCGUGCGUGUAGCAGGUGGCUGGCGUUGUACACAUUCAGACUGCGGUUACGCUGCCUCAGGACAUGGUACGGGCAGAGGAGGUCACACACACAGGCCAGGCUGCAGCACCGGAAACACCUCCUGGAGGCUGGCUUCUCUGCCCUGAGGCGGGCCACCGUGAUCCGCCGCGCCCGGGCACACACCCUGGCCAGGGCCACGGACGCCCUGACCCUUGCCCACUGUUUCCUUCGGGUCGGUAAUUAUGCUCGGCCUGGGUGCUGCCUUGUUUGUGCAGCACCCCUGUGUAUGUCGGUUAGGUGACGAGUCGGCGGGCUCCCAGGCUAAGCCGGAGUUUGGGCUGAACCGUAACUGAGACUCAGGGAGCAUGCUCAGUUGCAAACGUCUCUCAUAACUUCACAUGGAUUUGCUUCUACUGUCUUAGCUCAUUAAUGACAUGACACCUGUCUCUCCACCAGGUGGCAGUACUCUUACGGAGUUUAACUAUGUGCUUCAGUGACAUGACUCGCGCAAACUGUAGCUUUCCCUUGUAACGGUGUGCAGUGGAGGAGGUGUGUGGAGCAGAGGUGUUGUCCCGGAUCUGAGGGGGGUGAAGUUGGGGACGUGGGGGCCCUCCGGACGAGACUGACCCAGCCUAGUGACACCCCGGUCCUGAGGACGGCCUGCUGCUCCUGGAGGAGCCACAUCCAGGGCUGGCAGCUCCAGAGGGCAGCGCUCAUCCACUACCAUCUGAACCUCCUGUGGAAACACUGGCUGCUGUGGAGGCAGUCUGGCCUAAGGGCCCCCCCGCUGACCCAGGGGCCAUCCCUCCACCGGGACCACGCGCUGCAGAGGCGGGCCUACGCCGCAUGGAGAGCAGCCUGGGUCACCGCAGGCCGGGCCACGCAGCAUCACCGGUGAAAGACGCCUUUCGCUUGCACCUUCACGUUCAUCUAGUACAGCAGACGCUUUCACAUGAGGCCACGUAC